UUGAAUAAACUUGAUAGGCUGUUGCUGGCUCCUCAAUAAAGGAGUAUGUGCACGCUUGUCAUCUUUAUUUUUCCACCUGUGCACAUAUUGUAGACCUUGGAUAAAAAGUUUGUUCGAGCAAUUGGAUAGAUUGAGGAUUGCUGUGCUUGCUUGAAAGUCAGCUUUGCCUUGUAUUUCCAGGUCUAUGUUAUUUUACAAGCUCUAUUGAAUGUAUCAGAAUGUUGAUCUGGGUCUUUUGUACCUAUAAAAGUUAUAUA
rnacentral:misc_RNA from 1 species